UUUUGUAGUAUAUUAUCAAAUGAGUUUUUUUGGAGUGGAUUGUAUAUGGAGUUUUUUGUAGUGUACAACCGAAUUUCGGGGUUGAAUUAUAUAUUGUCAUAUUUUAAUAGAGUUGAAUUAUAUACUGUCAUGUCCACCCUAAAGGUUAUGCCAUUAAGGGUAGGAUGAUUAUUAGCACCUUAGAUGGCUAAUCGAGUUGUCUAACGCAGAUAGACAUUAUCUAUGGUGCAAUAGUGUUUAUCCCGCAACUAGGUUGUGGUUGGAAUCGGUUGGUAGAGUCUCCAU
rnacentral:lncRNA from 1 species